AGCUUUGUGCAGUGGCAGUAUGGUAGCCAAUGAGGUUUAUCCGAGGCGCGAUUGUUGCUAAUUGAAAACUUUUCCCAUUCUA
ensembl:snRNA LOC120096088 U4 spliceosomal RNA